GCGUGCGUGUGUGUGCGUGUGUGUGUGUUCUGCGUCUGUGUCUGGCUGUGUAGGGUGGAUAUUUAAUCGGGUUGUUGUGUGUUUCUGGUUGUGUGUCUGGUUGUGUCCUCAUCUCCACCUGAGAACAACCAGCUGCAGAGCUGCUCCACCCUUCAGCCUUCAGCCCAGAUAGUGAAGAUGUGAUGGAGGAGGAUGGAGGUGUUGAGAUGACUUCACCACUGAGGUCCACUGACGGUCCUGAACCAACCAGGGACCAACAAGAACAUACCAUAACUAUCCCUGAAACUAUAGUGGUC